rnacentral:rRNA from 1 species
GACGAACGCUGGCGGCGUGCUUAACACAUGCAAGUCGAACGGAAAGGCCCUGCUUUUGUGGGGUGCUCGAGUGGCGAACGGGUGAGUAACACGUGAGUAACCUGCCCUUGACUUUGGGAUAACUUCAGGAAACUGGGGCUAAUACCGGAUAGGAGCCCCUGCUGCAUGGUGGGGGUUGGAAAGUCUCGGCGGUUGGGGAUGGACUCGCGGCUUAUCAGCUUGUUGGUGGGUAGUGGCUUACCAAGGCUUUGACGGGUAGCCGGCCUGAGAGGGUGACCGGCCACAUUGGGACUGAGGUACGGCCCAGACGGCUACGGGAGGCAGCAGUGGGGAAGAUUGCACAAUGGGCGGAAGCCUGAUGCAGCAACGCCGCGUGCGGGAUGACGGCCUUCGGGUUGUAAACCGCGUUCGCCUGUGACGAAGCGUGAGUGACGGUAAUGGGUAAAGAAGCACCGGCUAACUACGUGC